UGAGGAAUAUUGGUCAAUGGGCGAGAGCCUGAACCAGCCAAGUAGCGUGCAGGAUGACGGCUCUAUGGGUUGUAAACUGCUUUUAUAGGGGAAUAAAGUGAGGGACGUGUCCCUUAUUGCAUGUACCAUACGAAUAAGGACCGGCUAAUUCCGUGCCAGCAGCCGCGGUAAUACGGAAGGUCCAGGCGUUAUCCGGAUUUAUUGGGUUUAAAGGGAGCGUCGGCUGUUUGUUAAGCGUGUUGUGAAAUGUAAGAGCUCAACUUUUAGAUUGCAGCGCGAACUGGCAGACUUGAGUGCGCACAACGUAGGCGGAAUUCAUGGUGUAGCGGUGAAAUGCUUAGAUAUCAUGACGAACUCCGAUUGCGAAGGCAGCUUACGGGAGCGCUACUGACGCUAAAGCUCGAAGGUGCGGGUAUCGAACAGG
rnacentral:rRNA from 1 species